AACGCUGGCGGCGUGCCUAACACAUGCAAGUCGAGCGAGAAAAGGGGAGUAAUCCUCUGAGUACAGCGGCGCACGGGUGAGUAACACGUGGGUAAUCUGUCCUGGAGUGGGGAAUAACACCGGGAAACCGGUGCUAAUACCGCAUACGAUAACGAGGUCUGCGGACUUUGUUAUGAAAGGAGCAAUUCGCUCUAGGAGGUGCCCGCGGCUGAUUAGCUAGUUGGUGAGGUAAUGGCUCACCAAGGCUUCUAUCAGUAUCCGGUCUGAGAGGACGGUCGGACACACUGGAACUGAGACACUGUCCAGACUCCUACGGGAGGCAGCAGUGGGGAAUUUUUGGCAAUGGGGGUAACCCUGACCAAGCAACGCCGCGUGGGUGAUGAAGUCUCUUGGGACGUAUAACCCUUUCGACGGGGAAGAAAACCGCAAGGUUUGACGGUACCCGUAGAUGAAGCCCCGGCUAACUCCGUGCCAGCAGCCGCGGUAAUAAGGU
rnacentral:rRNA from 1 species